AGCUGGAUGGCCGUGGGGGCGUUAGCCCGCGAGGAAAGUCCGGACUCCACAAAGCAACGGUGCCGGGUAACGCCCGGCCGGGGAAACCCGAGGGAAAGCGCCACAGAGAACAAACCGCUCUCGGUUACGAGAGUAAGGGUGAAACGGUGGGGUAAGAGCCCACCGCGCGGCUGGCAACAGCGGCGGCACGGCAAGCCCCACCGGGAGCAAUGCCAAAUAGGGACCGCGCGUGGCGCUUGCCACAGGAGCGCUUUGCUCCGAGCAGGUCCGGGUUGGCAGCUUGAGGUGUCUGGUAACAGGCACCCUAGAUGAAUGGUCAUUGAACCGGCUUCGGCCGGGGAACAGAAUCCGGCUUAUAGGCUCUCU
rnacentral:RNase_P_RNA from 13 species